rnacentral:rRNA from 1 species
UACGUAGGGGGCAAGCGUUGUCCGGAUUCAUUGGGCGUAAAGAGCUCGUAGGCGGUUCGAUAAGUCGGGUGUGAAACCUCCAGGCUCAACCUGGAGACGCCACCCGAUACUGUCGUGACUAGAGUCCAGUAGGGGGAGCGUGGAAUUCCUGGUGUAGCGGUGAAAUGCGCAGAUAUCAGGAGGAACACCAGCGGCGAAGGCGGCGCUCUGGGCUGGAACUGACGCUGAGGAGCGAAAGCGUGGGGAGCGAACAGG